CGAUAUCGACGAGUUGAUCCUGGCUCAGGAUGAACGCUGGCGGCGUGGCUAAGGCAUGCAAGUCGAGCGGAUUAUUUUUUGUAGCAAUACAAGAAAUAGUUAGCGGCAAACGGGUGCGUAACACAUUGGUAACCUACCUCGAAGUCGGGCACAACUAGCCGAAAGGCUAGCUAAUUCCACGAUGGUCAUCCAAACGUAAAGUUUGUAUGUAAAGCAGCAAUGCGCUUCGAGAGGGGCCUAUGGCCCAUCAGCUAGUUGGUAAGUAACGGCUUACCAAGGCUAUGACGGGUAGGGGGUGCGAGAGCACGACCCCCCCUCACUGGAACUGAGACACUGUCCAGACACCUACGGGUGGCUGCAGUCACGAAUAUUCCCCAAUGGACGAAAGUCUGAGGGAGCGACGCCGCGUGCAGGAUGAAGGGCUUCGGCUCGGUAAACUGCUUUUGUCAGGGAAAAAAUCUGAUGGUACCUGAAGAAUAAGUAGGUUGCUAACUCUGUG
rnacentral:rRNA from 1 species